GUGGAUUAGAUACCCUGGUAGUCCACGCUGUAAACGAUGAGUGCUAGUUGUCGGCAUGCAUGCAUGUCGGUGACGCAGCUAACGCAUUAAGCACUCCGCCUGGGGAGUACGGUCGCAAGAUUAAAACUCAAAGGAAUUGACGGGGGCCCGCACAAGCGGUGGAGCAUGUGGUUUAAUUCGAAGCGACGCGCAGAACCUUACCACCUUUUGACAUGCCUGGACCGCCGGAGAGAUCCGGUUUUCCCUUCGGGGACUAGGACACAGGUGCUGCACGGCUGUCGUCAGCU
rnacentral:rRNA from 1 species